rnacentral:rRNA from 1 species
AUUGAACGCUGGCGGCAGGCCUAACACAUGCAAGUCGAACGAGUGGCGGACGGGUGAGUAAUGUCUGGGAAACUGCCCGAUGGAGGGGGAUAACUACUGGAAACGGUAGCUAAUACCGCAUACCAUCGGAUGUGCCAAGAUGGGAUUAGCUUGUAGGUGAGGUAACGGCUCACCUAGGCGACGAUCCCUAGCUGGUCUGAGAGGAUGACCAGCCACACGGGAACUGAUACACGGUCCAGACUCCGACGGGAGGCAGCAGUUGGGAAUAUUGCGCAAUGGGCUAAAGCCUGAUGCAGCCAUGCCGCGUGUAUGAAGAAGGUCUUCGGGUUGCAAAAUACUUUCAGCAGGGAGGCGUUACCCGCAGAAGAAGCACCGGCUAACUCCGUGUCAGCAGCCGCGGUAAUUC